UUGAACGCUGGCGGCAGGCCUAACACAUGCAAGUCGAGCGGAUGAAGGGAGCUUGCUCCUGGAUUCAGCGGCGGACGGGUGAGUAAUGCCUAGGAAUCUGCCUGGUAGUGGGGGAUAACGUCCGGAAACGGGCGCUAAUACCGCAUACGUCCUGAGGGAGAAAGUGGGGGAUCUUCGGACCUCACGCUAUCAGAUGAGCCUAGGUCGGAUUAGCUAGUUGGUGGGGUAAAGGCCUACCAAGGCGACGAUCCGUAACUGGUCUGAGAGGAUGAUCAGUCACACUGGAACUGAGACACGGUCCAGACUCCUACGGGAGGCAGCAGUGGGGAAUAUUGGACAAAGGACGAAAGCCUGAUCCAGCCAUGCCGCGUGUGUGAAGAAGGUCUUCGGAUUGUAAAGCACUUUAAGUUGGGAGGAAGGGCAGUAAGUUAAUACCUUGCUGUUUUGACGUUACCAACAGAAUAAGCACCGGCUAACUUCGUG
rnacentral:rRNA from 1 species